rnacentral:tRNA from 1 species
GAGGGCGUAGCUCAGUGGUAGAGUGCCUGCUUAGUAUGCAUGAGGUCCUGGAUUCAUCCCCGGUACCUCCA